rnacentral:rRNA from 1 species
ACUUGAACAGGCUGUUGCUGGCCCCUCUGGGGUGUGUGCACGCUUGUCUCAUCUUUAUUAUUUCUCCAACUGUGCACCUCAUGUAGAUCCUCGAGCCUUUGUAUGAAUGUUCUCAUUCGAGUAGGGACUGCUGUUGCUUUUCUUUGAAAGGCCAGCUUUGCCUUUUGCUCUUGGGGUUCUAUGUCCAUCUAUCACAAACGAGUUUAGAAUGUCUAUAAUGAAAAAAAAGUGAAAUAUAUACAACUUUCAGCAACGGAUCUCUUGGCUCUCGCAUCGAUGAAGAACGCAGCGAAAUGCGAUAAGUAAUGUGAAUUGCAGAAUUCAGUGAAUCAUCGAAUCUUUGAACGCACCUUGCGCUCCUUGGUAUUCCGAGGAGCAUGCCUGUUUGAGUGUCAUUUGACUUAUCAAAACCACCUCAUCUGCUUGGUGGCUUUGGAUGUGGGGGUCUUUGCAGGCUUUGAACAAAGGUCGGCUCCCCUGAAACGCAUUAGUGGCAUCUGAGCUGCUACUAUAGGUGUGAUAAAUUAUCUAUGCCUUUGGUACGCCGCAUGAACGGAUCACGCUGCUCACAACGAAAAAGAGAACUUUGACAAACUUGACCUC